rnacentral:rRNA from 1 species
UUGAAAGGGAAACGAUUGAAGUCAGUCGUACCGACGAGAUCAGCUUUUCGAAUGUGCAUUUGUGGGGCGUAUGAGAUCUUCAUUGUUGCAAUAUGUAUGUUUCUUUGGUGUAUUUUUUCNUAUGGUAGGUCAAUNUCGGUUUUGGUNCCAUAAAAUGAUCGGAGGAAUGUAGCUUCGGCCUCGGUUGAAGUGUUAUAGCCUUUGGUAAAUGUGGUGAUUAAGACCGAGGAUUGCAACGAAUACCUUUUAGGCUAUCCGUCUGACUCUGAAAGUUACUUAGGUGCCGAAAGCUUGUUACGGUCAUUUAAGUUGACGGUCAAUAGGUUAGAACGUGAUUACAUUCGUUAAGGAUGUUGACGUA